CCUACGGGAGGCAGCAGUAGGGAAUAUUGCUCAAUGGGGGAAACCCUGAAGCAGCAACGCCGCGUGGAGGAUGAAGGUUUUCGGAUUGUAAACUCCUUUUGUUAGAGAAGAUAAUGACGGUAUCUAACGAAUAAGCACCGGCUAACUCCGUGCCAGCAGCCGCGGUAAUACGGCGGGUGCAAGCGUUACUCGGAAUCACUGGGCGUAAAGAGCGCGUAGGUGGGAUAGAAAGGCAGAUGUGAAAUCCUAUGGCUUAACCAUAGAACUGCAUUUGAACCUGGUAUUCUAGAGUAUGGGAGAGGUAGGUGGAAUACUUGGUGUAGGGGUGAAAUCCGUAGAGAUCAAGAGGAAUACUGAUUGCGAAGGCGGCCUGCUAGAACAUAACUGACGCUGAGGCGCGAAAGCGUGGGGAGCGAACAGGAUUAGAUACCCGUGUAGUC
rnacentral:rRNA from 1 species